CCAAAGCUCAUCAUUGGAUGCUUGGCUUCUAAUAGGAGAUUAUUAUGUGAUUGUUGGAGGAAUUUUUCCUUAAGAAAUUUUCAAGAGUAGAUAUUAUCUAGGCUUAAAAGGGAUGUAUUCACUGUAGGUUCCAGGAAAAAUAUGCCUAAUAAUUAUGGGAAUAGAACAAAAAGGGUGGGACCUAAGGGAACACAGUGAAAGGAAGAAGGAAGAAUGUGAUAAGUUUGAGGGAAACUGUCAAUUAGGCUUCUAAACUUUUUCCUUUGAGUUUUCUUGCAGUUAUAGAUCUCAAACUUAUCAAAGAAAAGAAUUUUUAUUUUACUCUUUAAAGAGGAUUGAGGCUCUGCUACCCAAAUAAAUCUCUCCAAUACAGAAAAAACCCAGAAGUUCUAAAAUGUCAUUGCGUGCCUACCAUUUGAAGACAAACUAUAAUAUUGAAGAGUCUGGGUUUGGAUUUUACCAAGACCAGUAUACAAAUGACUCUCUCUUACUUUUAUUCUUCCACCUACUACAUAUUGAACUCUUCUUCUUCUUCUUCUUCUUCUUCUUCUUCCUCUUCCUCUUCCUCUUCCUCCUCCUCCUCCUCCUCCUCCUCUUC
rnacentral:lncRNA from 1 species